rnacentral:rRNA from 1 species
CANCUAAACCUAAAUUUAAUUCANCNUCGAGGNCGNAAUCUAANNUNNNNAUUUGAACUNUCAAAAUUAAAUUACGCUGUUAUCCCUAANGGUAACUUAAUCUAAAAAACCUUAAAUCUUCNAAAUUACUCACAAAAAGAANUAACUACAAAAAGUAAAAUUUAUAUUUCUCACCGCCCCAACUAAAAUAUUUUUAUUAUAUAAUUAUAAAUUUUAACAAAUAUUUAAAAUCUAUAGGGUCUUAUCGUCCCAUUAAACAGUUUUAUAGUCAUUUUAAACUACAAUUAAAUUUAGAUAACUUCCUAAUAAAUAGAUUUUCUCUAAUUAAUUCUUUCAUUCCAGACCCCAAUUAAAAGACAAGUUAUUAUGCUACCUUAGCACAGUUAAAAUACCGCGGCCCUUUAAAUUUUCAGAGAGCAGAAAUUACCUUAAAUAAUAUCUUUUCCAAAAGGAAAUGUUUUUG